rnacentral:lncRNA from 1 species
AACAGCGCUACUGCUCCACCACUUCGAUUUGAUUCUCUGGCGAUUUGUUGGCGGGCUGCAAGGUCAGUCUCCCCACUGUUCUUCUCUGUUUUGAAAUCCCAUUAUACUGGCGGGCUUACCAAAAGAUGCCAAUGUGCUGCGGCCUUGAGUUGCCCCAUGUGUAACGGUUGAGCGUGCACUUCGUCCGCUCGGGGAUGUGAAUGGGACAGAGAAAGCAGUUGUUGACAGUUGAGAAUGGUAGCGAACCUCCUGAUACGUAAUAGUUGAGGGAGACUCCCAAACGACUCGAAUCAAAGAGAUGAAUUCCACACAUGGAUUAGUAGAAUUUGAGGGGAUUUUGGAAUGAAUCGGUAGGACUUGAGGCUAGCAACUUUGCAGCGUAAACCUUGCAAACCUCCAAUUAUCAAUUUCAUACGUAUGCAAUCCAAGUUAGAUGCAAGUUAACCAUCCUAAAUACAGUAGUCACUUUGGUAGAUGUUUCAGAACAUCCAAGUGGAGGGUAAAAUUCUAAUGUACAAAGUUUUUAUGUAAAUGAAACUUGGAUCAGCUGUCACUUUGUAAAAUCUCAUCACUCAGGCAGAGUGGGGAAGUUCGGGCCACAUCAUAUUGGGUUCUCGUAAUGUGCAAAACUAAGCUCUUGAGUAACUAACAUUGCAGGAAUGGUGCAUGAUGGCGGCAAUGAAUGAUAAGAAGCAUAAUGCUCAGAGAAUGGUUGUAGACUAUCUAACACCUAAUUAUGUAUCAAAUGUUUACACUGACGUAGUGCAUGCUAAUGCACAGGUACGCGCGUCUUGAUGGGUUUCAGCUUCAAUCCAAGGCUCUCCGGAGAGAGGAGCUCAGGAGCCAUGCAGGGUGGGCUCAACGGACUUCUAGGACUAGAAAGCGCAGAUUUUAAUGACCGUUCGUAGAAAGCAUAGCCCAU